AAAGCAUUCCUGGAAAUCUCGGCCCAAAAAAGGACGUUUAGUAAUUCUAAAAGGGACUACAGGAUGAAAAACAAUAGUUUUGGCAGUUAAAGUUUGAGAUUCGAUAAUGCCGUAGAUCCGUUUGGUCAUCAGGUGUAACGAGCCACACCCAUGUCUGGUUAGAGUAGUGUGCUAGGCUCAGACUAGAUAAGAAACGGGGAACAAACUGAUGAAAGAAUGAUCAUACCGAGCGAAUUCACUCAGAACUAACAAGAAUGAUAACAUGCUCCGACUGGAGCGGUUUAGGAACUGCUGGAAGGCUCUAGGGGAAUAAAGAUGGAAUGACUUCUAAUUUUUAGGUCCGUAUGAUUUGAAAUACUUGCACACAAACCACGCGAAAGCGUUCCUGGAAAUCUCAGCCCAAAAAAGGACGUUUAGUAAUUCUAAAAGGGACUACAGGAUGAAAAACAAUAGUUUUGGCAGUUAAAGUUUGAGAUUCGACAGUGCCGUAGAUCCGUUUGGUCAUCAGGUAUUACGAGCCACACCCAUGUCUAGCUAGAAUAGUGUGCUAGGCUCAGGCUAGAGAAGAAACGGGGAACAAACUGAUGAAAGAAUGAUCAAACCGAGGGAAUUCACUCAGAACUAACAAUAAUGAUAACGUGCUCCGACUGGUGCGGUUUAGGAACUGCUGGAAGGCUCUAGGGGAAUAAAGAUGGAAUGACUUCUAAUUUUUAGGUCCGUAUGAUUUGAAAUACUUGCACACAAACCGCGCGAAAGCGUUCCUGGAAAUCUCAGCCCAAAAAAGGACGUUUAGUAAUUUUAAAAGGGACUAUAGGAUGAAAAACAAUAGUUUUGGCAAUUAAAGUUUGAGAUUCGACGGUGUCGUAGAUCCGUUUGGUCAUCAGGUGUUACGAGCCACACCCAUGUCUAGCUAGAAUAGUAUGUCAGGCUCAGGUUAGAGUAGAAACGGGGAACAAACUGAUGAAAGAAUGAUCAUACCAAGGGAAUUCACUCAGAACUAUCAAGAAUGAUAACGUGCUCCGACUGGAGUGAUUUAGGAACUGCUGGAAGGCUCUAGGGGAAUAAAGAUGGAAUGACUUCUAAUUUUUACGUCCGUAUGAUUUGAAAUACUUGCACACAAAUCACGCAAAAGCGUUCCUGGAAAUCUCAGCCUAAAAAAGGACGUUUAGUAAUUCUAAAAGGGACUACAGGAUGAAAAACAAUAGUUUGGGCAGUUAAAAUUUGAGAUUCGACGGUGCCGUAGAUCCGUUUGGUCAUCAGGUGUUACGAGCGACACCCUUGUCUAGCUAGAAUAGUGUGUUAGGCUCAGACUAGAGAAGAAACGGGGAACAAAGUGAUGAAAGAAUGAUCAUACCGAGGGAAUUCACUCAGAACUAACAAGAAUGAUAACGUGCUCCGACUGGAGCGGUUUAGUAACUGCUGGAAGGCUCUAGGGGAAUGAAGAUGGAAUGACUUCUAAUUUUUAGGUCCGUAUGAUUUGAAAUACAUGCACACAAACCCUGAGAAAGCGUUCCUGGAAAUCUCGGUCGAAAAAAGGAUGUUUAAUAAUUCUAAAAGGGACUACCGGAUGAAAAACAAUAGUUUUGGCAGUUAAAGUUUGUGAUUCGAUGGUGCCGUAGAUCUGUUUGGUCAUCAGGUGUUACGAGCCACACCCAUGUCUAUCUAGAAUAGUGUGUUAGGCUCAGGCUAGAGCAGAAACGGGGAACAGACUUAUGAAAGAAUGAUCAUACCGAGGGAAUUCACUCAGAACUAACAAGAAUGAUAACGUGCUCCGACUGGCGCGGUUUAGGAACUGCUGGAAGGCUCUAGGGGAAUAAAGAUGGAAAGACUUCUAAUUUUUAGGUCCGUAUGAUUUGAAAUACUUGCACACAAACCGCACGAAAGCGUUCCUGGAAAUCUCAGCCUAAAAAGGAUGUUUAGUAAUUCUAAAAGGGACUACAAGAUGAAAAAUAAUAGUUUGGGCAGUUAAAAUUUGAGAUUCGACGAUGCCGUAGAUCCGUUUGGUCAUCAGGUGUUAUGAGCCACACCCAUGUCUAGCUAGAAUAGUGUGUUAGGCUCAGGCUAGAGAAGAAACGGGGAACAAACUGAUGAAAGAAUGAUCAUACCGAGGGAAUUCACUCAGAACUAACAAGAAUGAUAACGUGCUCCGACUGGAGCAGUUUAGAAACUGCUGGAAGGCUCUAAUGGAAUAAAGAUGGAAUGCCUUCAAAUUUCUAGGUCCGUAUGAUUUGAAAUACUUGCACACAAACCGCUCGAAAGCGUUCCUGGAAAUCUCAGCCCAAAAAAGGACGUUUAGUAAUUCUAAAAGGGACUACAGGAUGAAAAACAAUAGUUUUGGCAGUUAAAGUUUGAGAUUCGAUGGUGCCGUAGAUCCGUUUGGUCAUCAGGUGUAACGAGCCACACACAUGUCUAGCUAGAGUAGUGUGCUAGGCUCAGACUAGAGAAGAAACGGGGAACAAAGUGAUGAAAGAAUGAUCAUACCGAGGGAAUUCACUCAGAACUUACAAGAAUGAUAACGUGCUCCGACUGGAGCGCUUUAGUAACUGCUGGAAGGCUCUAGGCGAAUAAAGAUGGAAUGACUUCUAAUUUUUAGGUCCGUAUGAUUUGAAAUACUUGCACACAAACCACGCAAAACCGUUCCUAGAAAUCUCGGUCGAAAAAAGGACGUUUAGUAAUUCUAAAAGGGACUACAGGAUGAAAAACAAUAGUUUUGGCAGUUAAAGUUUGAGAUUCGAUGGUGCCGUAGAUCCGUUUGGUCAUCAGGUGUUACGAGCCACACCCAUGUCUAGCUAGAGUAGUGUGCUAGGUUCAGACUAGAGAAGAAACGGGGAACAAAGUGAUUAAAGAAUGAUCAUACCGAGGGAAUUCACUCAGAACUAACAAGAAUGAUAACGUGCUCCGACUGGAGCGGUUUAGGAACUGCUGGAAGGCUCUAGGGGAAUAAAGAUGGAAUGACUUCUAAUUUUUACGUCCGUAUGAUUUGAAAUACAUGCACACAAACCACGCAAAAGCGUUCCUGGAAAUCUCAGCCUAAAAAAGGACGUUUAGUAAUUCUAAAAGGGACUACAGGAUGAAAAAUAAUAGUUUGGGCAGUUAAAAUUUGAGAUUCGACGCUGCCGUAGAUCCGUUUGGUCAUCAGGUCUUACGAGCCACACCCAUGUCUAGCUAGAAUAGUGUGUUAGGCUCAGGCUAGAGAAGAAACGGGGAACAAACUGAUGAAAGAAUGAUCAUACCGAGGGAAUUCACUCAGAACUAACAAGAAUGAUAACGUGCUCCGACUGGAGCAGUUUAGAAACUCCUGGAAGGCUCUAGGGGAAUAAAGAUGGAAUGACUUCAAAGUUUUAGGUCCGUAUGAUUUGAAAUACUUGCACACAAACCGCGUGAAAGCGUUCCUGGAAAUCUCAACCCAAAAAAGGGCGUUUAGUAAUUCUAAAAGGGACUACAGGAUGUAAAACAAUAGUUUUGGCAGUUAAAGUUUGAGAUUCGAUGGUGCCGUAGAUCCGUUUGGUCAUCAGGUGUAACGAGCCACACCCAUGUCUAGCUAGAGUAGUGUGCUAGGCUCAGACUAGAGAAGAAACGGGGAACAAAGUGAUGAAAGAAUGAUCAUACCGAGGGAAUUCACUCAUAACUAACAAGAAUGAUAACGUGCUCUGACUUGAGCGGUUUAGGAACUGCUGGAAGGCUAUAGGGGAAUAAAGAUGGAAUGACUUCAAAUUUUUAGGUCCGUAUGAUCUGAAAUACUUGCACACAAACCGCGAGAAAGCGUUCCUGGAAAUCUCAACCCAAAAAAGGACGUUUAGUAAUUCUAAAAGGGACUACAGGAUGAAAAACAAUAGUUCUGGCAGUUAUUGUUUGAGAUUCGAUAAUCUCGUAGAUCCGUUUGGUCAUCAGGUGUAACGAGCCACACCCAUGUCUAGCUAGAGUAGUGUGCUAGGCUCAGACUAGAGAAGAAACGGGGAACAAACUGAUGAAAGAAUGAUCAUACCGAGGGAAUUCACUUAGAACUAACAAGAAUGAUAACGUGCUCCGACUGGAGCGGUUUAGGAACUGCUGGAAGGCUCUAGGGGAAUAAAGAAGGAACGACUUCUAAUUUUUAGGUCCGUAUGAUUUGAAAUAUGUGCACACAAACCACGAGAAAGCGUUCCUAGAAAUCUCGGCCCAAAAGAGGACGUUUAGUAUUCUAAAAGGGACUACAGAAUGAAAAACAAUAGUUUUGGCAGUUAAAGUUUGAGAUUUGACGGUGCCGUAGAUCUGUUUGGUCAUCAGGGGUUACGAGCCACACCCAUGUCUAGCUAGAAUAGUGUGUUAGGCUCAGGCUAGAAAAGAAACGGGGAACAAAGUGAUGAAAGAAUGAUCAUACCGAGGGAAUUCACUCAGAACUAACAAGAAUGAUAACAUGCUCCGACUGGAGCGGUUUAGGAACUGCUGGAAGGCUCUAGGGGAAUAAAGAUGGAAUGACUUCUAAUUUUUAGGUCCGUAUGAUUUGAAAUACUUGCACACAAACCGCGCGAAAGCGUUCCUGGAAAUCUCAGCCCAAAAAAGGACGUUUAGUAAUUCUAAAAGGGACUACAGGAUGAAAAACAAUAGUUUUGGCAGUUAAAGUAUGAGAUUCAACGGUGCCGUAGAUCCGUUUGGUCAUUAGGUGUUACGAGCCACACCCAUGUCUAGCUAGAAUAGUGUGCUAGGCUCAGGCUAGAGAAGAAACGGGGAACAAACUGAUGAAAGAAUGAUCAAACCGAGGGAAUUCACUCAGAACUAACAAUAAUGAUAACGUGCUCCGACUGGAGCGGUUUAGGAACUGCUGGAAGUCUCUAGGGGAAUAAAGAUGGAAUGACUUCUAAUUUUUACGUUCGUAUGAUUUGAAAAACUUGCCCAUAAACCGCGCGAAAGUGUUCCUGGAAAUCUCAGCCCAAAAAAGGACGUUUAGUAAUUUUAAAAGGGACUACACGAUGAAAAACAAUAGUUUUGGCAGGUAAAGUUUGAGAUUCGACAGUGCCGUAGAUCCGUUUGGUCAUCAGGUGUUACGAGCCACACCCAUGUCUAGCUAGAAUAGUAUGUUACGCUCAGGUUAGAGAAGAAACGGGGAACAAACUGAUGAAAGAUGAUCAUACCAAGGGAAUUCACUCAGAACUAACAAGAAUGAUAACGUGCUCCGACUGGAGCGGUUUAGGAACUGCUGGAAGGCUCUAGGGGAAUAAAGAUGGAAUGACUUCUAAUUUUUACGUCUGUAUGAUUUGAAAUACUUGCACACAAACAACGCAAAAGCAUUCCUGGAAAUCUCAUCCUAAAAAAGGACGUUUAGUAAUUCUAAAAGGGACUACAGGAUGAAAAAUAAUAGUUUGGGAAGUUAAAAUUUGAGAUUCGAUAGUGCCGUAGAUCCGUUUGGUCAUCAGGUGUUAGGAGCCACACCCAUGUCUAGCUAGAAUAGUGUGUUAGGCUCAGGCUAGAGAAGAAACAGGGAACAAACUGAUGAAAGAAUGAUCAUACCGAGGGAAUUCACUCAGAACUAGCAAGAAUGAUAACGUGCUCCGACUGGAGCAGUUUUGAAACUGCUGGAAGGCUCUAGGGGAAUAAUGAUGGAAUGACUUCUAAGUUUUUGGUCCGUAUGAUUUGAAAUACGUGCACACAAACCCAGAGAAAGUGUUCUUGGAAAUCUCGGCCGAAAAAAGGAUGUUUAAUAAUUCUAAAAGGGACUACAGGAUGAAAAACAAUAGUUUUGGCAGUUAAAGUUUGUGAUUCGAUGGUGCUGUAGAUCUGUUUGGUCAUCAGGUGUUAUGAGCCACACCCAUGUCUAGCUAGAACAGUGUGUUAGGCUCAGGCUAGAGCAGAAACGGGGAACAAACUUAUGAAAGAAUGAUCAUACCGAGGGAAUUCACUCAGAACUAACAAGAAUGAUAACGUGCUCCGACUGGAGAGGUUUAGGAACUGCUGGAAGGCUCUAGGGGAAUAAAGAUGGAAUGACUUCAAAUUUUUAGGUCUGUAUGAUCUGAAAUACUUGCACACAAACCGCGAGAAAGCGUUCCUGGAAAUCUCAGCCCAAAAAAGGACGUUUAGUGAUUCUAAAAGGGACUACGGGAUAAAAAACAAUAGUUUUGGCAGUUAAAGUUUGAGAUUCGAUAAUGCCGUAGAUCCGUUUGGUCAUCAGGUGUAACGAGCCACACCCAUGUCUAGCUAGAGUAGUGUGCUAGGCUCAUACUAGAGAAGAAAUGGGGAACAAACUGAUGAAAGAAUGAUCAUACCGAGGGAGUUCACUCAAAACUAACAUGAAUGAUAACGUGCUCCGACUGGAGCGGUUUAGGAACUGCUGGAAGGCUCUAGGGGAAUAAAGAUGGAAUGACUUCUAAUUUUUAGGUCCGUAUGAUUUGAAAUACAUGCACACAAACCCCAAGAAAGCGUUCCUGGAAAUCUCGCCCCGAAAAACGACGUUUAGUAAUUCUAAAAGGGACUAUAGGAUGAAAAACAAUAGUUUUGGCAGUUAAAGUUUGAGAUUUGACGGUGCCGUAGAUCUGUUUGGUCAUCAGGUGUUACGAGCCACACCCAUUUCUAGCUAGAAUAGUGUGUUAGGCUCAGGCUAGAAAAGAAACGGGGAACAAAGUGAUGAAAGAAUGAUCAUACCGAGGGAAUUCACUCAGAACUAACAAGAAUGAUAACAUGGUCCGACUGGAGCGGUUUAGGAACUGCUGGAAGGCUCUAGGGGAAUAAAGAUGGAAUGACUUCUAACUUUUAGGUCCGUAUGAUUUGAAUUACUUGCACACAAACCGCGCGAAAGCGUUCCUGGAAAUCUCAGCCCAAAAAAGGACGUUUAGUAAUUCUAAAAGGGACUACAGGAUGAAAAACAAUAGUUUUGGCAGUUAAAGUUUGAGAUUCGACGGUGCCGUAGAUCCGUUUGGUCAGCAGGUGUUACGAGCCACACCCAUGUCUAGCUAGAGUAGUGUGCUAGGUUCAGACUAGAGAAGAAAUGUUGGGGAACGUAGCAGAAAUUCAAAAUUUUCCUACGUGUCACCAAGAUCUAUCUAUGGAGAGACUAGCAACGAGGGAAGGAGAGUGCAUCUACAUACCCUUGUAGAUCGCUAAGCGGAAGCGUUCAAGUGAACGGGGUUGAUGGAGUCGUACUCGUCGUGAUUCAGCUCACCGAUGAUCCUAGUGCCGAACGGACGGCACCUCCGCGUUCAACACACGUACAGCUCGACGAUGUCUCCCACGCCUUGAUCCAGCAAGGAGAGAGGGAGAGGUUGAGGAAGACUCCAUCCAGCAGAAGCACAACGGCGUGGUGGUGAUGGAGGAGCAUGGCAAUCCUGCAGGGCUUCGCCAAGCACCUAUGGGAGAGGAGGAGGUGUCACGGGAGGGAGGGAGGCGCCAAGGGCUCAGGUAUAGAUGCCCUCCCUCCCCUCCACUAUAUAUAGGGGCAAGGGAGAGGGGGGAGGCGCAGCCUUGCCCCUUCCUCCAAGGAAGGGGUGCGGCUAAGAGGGGGGGAGGAGUCCAUCCUCCCCAAGGCACCUCGGAGGUGCCUUCCCCCUUUAGGACUCUCCCCUUUUUCCUAUAUCUUGGCGCAUGGGCCUCUAGGGGCUGGUUCCCUUGGCCCAUGUAGGCCCAGGCGCACCCCCUACAGCCCAUGUGGCCCCCCGGGGCAGGUGGCCCCACCUGGUGGGCCCCCGGGACCCUUCCGGUGGUCCCGGUACAAUACCGAUGACCCCGAAACUUGUCCCGAUGGCCGAAACAGGACUUCCUAUAUAUAAAUCUUUACCUCCGGACAAUUCCGGAACUCCUCGUGACGUCCGGGAUCUCAUCCGGGACUCCGAACAACAUUCGGUAACCACAUACAAACUUCCUUUAUAACCCUAGCGUCAUCGAACCUUAAGUGUGUAGACCCUACGGGUUCGGGAGACAUGUAGUCAUGACCGAGAUGUUCUCCGGUCAAUAACCAACAGCGGGAUCUGGAUACCCAUGUUGGCUCCCACAUGUUCCACGAUGAUCUCAUCGGAUGAACCACGAUGUCAAGGACUCAAUCAAUCCCGUAUACAAUUCCCUUUGUCUAGCGGUAUGGUACUUGCCCGAGAUUCGAUCGUCGGUAUACCGAUACCUUGUUCAAUCUCGUUACCGGCAAGUCUCUUUACUCAUUUCGUAACACAUCAUCCCGUGAUCAACCCCUUGGUCACAUUGUGCACAUUAUGAUGAUGUCCUACCGAGUGGGCCCAGAGAUACCUCUCCGUUUACACGGAGUGACAAAAUCCCAAUCUCGAUUCGUGCCAACCCAACAGACACUUUCAGAGAUACCCGUAGUGUACCUUUACAGCCACCCAGUUACGUUGUGACGUUUGGCACACCCAAAGCACUCCUACAGUAUCCGGGAGUUGCACAAUCUCAUGGUCUAAGGAAAUGAUACUUGACAUUAGAAAAGCUUUAGCAUACGAACUACAUGAUCUUGUGCUAGGCUUAGGAUUGGGUCUUGUCCAUCACAUCAUUCUCCUAAUGAUGUGAUCCCGUUAUCAACGACAUCCAAUGUCCAUGGUCAGGAAACCGUAACCAUCUAUUGAUUAACGAGCUAGUCAACUAGAGGCUUACUAGGGACAUGGUGUUGUCUAUGUAUCCACACAUGUAUCUAAGUUUCCUAUCAAUACAAUUCUAGCAUGGAUAAUAAACGAUUAUCAUGAACAAGGAAAUAUAAUAAUAAUCAAUUUAUUAUUGCCUCUAGGGCAUAUUUCCAACAGUCUCCCACUUGCACUAGAGUCAAUAAUCUAGUUCACAUCGAUAUGUGAUUAACACUCAAGGUCACAUUCCCAUGUGACUAACACCCAAGAGUUUACUAGAGUCAAUAAUCUAGUUCACAUUUACCAUGUGAUUAACACUUGAUGAGUUCUGGGUUUGAUCAUGUUAUGCUUGUGAGAGAGGUUAUAGUCAACGGGUCUGAACCUUUCAGAUCCGUGUGUGCUUUACAAAUCUCUAUGUCAUCUCCUAGAUGCAGCUACCACGUUCUAUUUGGAGCUAUUCCAAAUAACUGUUCUACUUGGAGCUAUUCUAAAUUGUUGCUCCAUUAUACGUAUCCGGUAUCUCUACUCAGAGCUAUCCGGAUAGGUGUUAAGCUUGCAUCGACGUAACCCUUUACGACGAACUCUUUUACCACCUCCAUAAUUGAGAAAAUUCCUUAGUCCACUAGUUACUAAGGAUAACUUUGACCGCUGUCCUGUGAUCCAUUCUUGGAUCACUCUUGUACCCCUUGACUGACUCAUGGUAAAGCACACUUCAGGUGCGGUACACAGCAUAGCAUACUGUAGAGCCUAUGUCUUAAGCAUAGGGGACGACCUUCGUUCCUUUCUCUCUAUUCUGCCAUGGUCGAGCUUUAAGUCUUAACUUCAUACCUUACAACUCAGGCAAGAACUCCUUCUUUGACUGAUCCAUCUUGAACACCUUCAAGAUCACGUCAAGGCAUGUGCUCACGUCAAGAUCACGUCGGUAUACCGAUACCUUGUUCAAUCUCGUUACCGGCAAGUCUCUUUACUCGUUCCGUAACACAUCAUCCCGUGAUCAACCCCUUGGUCACAUUGUGCACAUUAUGAUGAUGUCCUACCGAGUGGGCCCAGAGAUACCUCUCCGUUUACACGGAGUGACAAAAUCCCAAUCUCGAUUCGUGCCAACCCAACAGACACUUUCAGAGAUACCCGUAGUGUACCUUUAUAGCCACCCAGUUACGUUGUGACGUUUGGCACACCCAAAGCACUCCUACGGUAUCCGGGAGUUGCACAAUCUCAUGGUCUAAGGAAAUGAUACUUGACAUUAGAAAAGCUUUAGCAUACGAACUACAUGAUCUUGUGCUAGGCUUAGGAUUGGGUCUUGUCCAUCACAUCAUUCUCCUAAUGAUGUGAUCCCGUUAUCAACGACAUCCAAUGUCCAUGGUCAGGAAACCGUAACCAUCUAUUGAUUAACGAGCCAGUCAACUAGAGGCUUACUAGGGACAUGGUGUUGUCUAUGUAUCCACACAUGUAUCUGAGUUUCCUAUCAAUACAAUUCUAGCAUGGAUAAUAAACGAUUAUCAUGAACAAGGAAAUAUAAUAAUAAUCAAUUUAUUAUUGCCUCUAGGGCAUAUUUCCAACAGUCUCCCACUUGCACUAGAGUCAAUAAUCUAGUUCACAUCACCAUGUGAUUAACACUGACAGGUCACAUCACCAUGUGACCAACAUCCAAAGAGUCUUGGGUUUGAUCAUGUUGCUUGUGAGAGAGGUUAUAGUCAACGGGUCUGAACCUUUCAGAUCCGUGUGUGCUUUACAAAUCUCUAUGUCAUCUCCUAGAUGCAGCUACCACGUUCUAUUUGGAGCUAUUCCAAAUAACUGUUCUACUUGGAGCUAUUCUAAAUUGUUGCUCCAUUAUACGUAUCCGGUAUCUCUACUCAGAGCUAUCCGGAUAGGUGUUAAGCUUGCAUCGACGUAACCCUUUACGACGAACUCUUUUACCACCUCCAUAAUUGAGAAAAUUCCUUAGUCCACUAGUUACUAAGGAUAACUUUGACCGCUGUCCUGCGAUCCAUUCUUGGAUCACCCUUGUACCCCUUGACUGACUCAUGGUAAAGCACACUUCAGGUGCGGUACACAGCAUAGCAUACUGUAGAGCCUAUGUCUUAAGCAUAGGGGAUGACCUUCGUUCCUUUCUCUCUAUUCUGCCAUGGUCGAGCUUUAAGUCUUAACUUCAUACCUUACAACUCAGGCAAGAACUCCUUCUUUGACUGGUCCAUCUUGAACACCUUCAAGAUCAUGUCAAGGUAUGUGCUCAUUUGAAAGUACUAUUAAGCGUUUUGAUCUAUCCUUAUAGAUCUUGAUGCUCAAUGUUCAAGUAGCUUAAUCCAGGUUUUCCAUUGAAAACACUUUCCAAAUAACCCUAUAUGCUUUCCAGAAAUUCUACGUCAUUUCUGAUCAUUAAUAUGUCAACAACAUAUAAUCAUCAGAAAUUCUAUAGUGCUCCCACUCACUUCUUUGGAAAUACAAGUUUCUCAUAAACUUUGUAUACACCCAAAAUCUUUGAUCAUCAUCAAAGCAUACAUUCCAACUCCGAGAUGCUCACUCCAGUCCUCAGAAGGAUUGCUGGAGCUUUGCAUACUUAUUAGCAUAUUUCAGGAUAGACAAAACCUUCCAGUUGUAUCACAUACAACCUUUCCUCAAGAAUCGUCGACGAAACAAUGUUUUGACAUCCUAUCUGCAAGAUUUCAUAAAUAAUGCAGUAAUUGUUAAUAUAAUUCCAACAGACUCUUAGCAUCGCUACGAGUGAGAAAGUCUCAUUGUAGUCAACUCCUUGAACUUGUCAAAAAACAUCUUAACGACAAGUCGAGCUUUCUCAAUGGUGACACUUACCAUCAUUGUCUGUCUUCCUUUCAAAAUCCAUAUGUACCUAACAGCCUUACGACCAUCAAGUAGUUCUUCCAAAGUCUACACUUUGUUUUCAUACAUGGAUCCUCUCUCGGGUUUUAUGGCCAUGAGCCAUUUAUCGGAAUCCGGGCCCACCAUUGCUUCUCCAUAGCUCGUAGGUUCAUUGUUGUCUAGCAACAUGACUUCCAAGACAGGAUUACUGUACCACUCUGAAGUAGUACGUAUCCUUGUCACCCUACGAGGUUUGGGAGUGACUUGAUCUGAAGUUUCAUGAUCACUAUCAUAAGCUUCUACUUCAAUUGGUGUAGGUGCCACAGGAACAACUUCCUGUGCCCUGCUACACACUGGUUGAAGUGAUGGUUCAAUAACCUCAUCAAGUCUCCACCAUCCUCCCACUCAAUUCUUUCGAGAGAAACCUUUCCUCGAGAAAGGACCCAAUUCUAGAAACAAUUCAUAUUGCUUUCGGAUCUGAAUUAGGAAGUAUACCCAACUGUUUUGGGUGUCCUAUGAAGAUGUACUUUAUCCGCUUUGGUUUCGAGCUUAAUCCUGAAACUUUUUCACAUAAGUGUCGCAGCCCCAAACCUUUAAGAAACGACAACUUAGGUUUCUCUAAACCAUAAUUCAUACGGUGUCAUCUCAUCGGAAUUACGUGGUGCCCUAUUUAAAGUGAAUGUGGUUGUCUUUAAUGCCUAACCCAUAAACUAUCGUGGCAGUUCGAUAAGAGACAUCAUGGUAUGCAUCAUAUCCAAUAGGGUGCAACUAUGAUGUUCGGACACACCAUCACACUAUGGUGUUCCAGGCGGUAUUAAUUGUGAAACAAUUUCCACAAUGUCUUAAUUGUGUGCCAAAACUCGUAACUCAGAUACUCAUCUCUAUGAUCAUAUCAUAGACAUUUUAUCCUCUUGUCACAAUGAUCUUCUACUUCACUCUGAAAUUACUUGAACCAUUCAACAAUUCAGACUUGUGUUUCAUCAAGUAAAUAUUCUCAACAUCUACUCGAAUCAUCUGUGAAGUAAGAACAUAACGAUAUUCACUGCAUGCCUCAGCACUCAUUGGACUGCACACAUCAAAAUGUGUUACUUCCAACAAGUUGCUAUCUUGUUCCAUCUUACUGAAAACGAGGCUUUUCAGUCAUCUUGCCCAUGUGGUAUGAUUUGCAUGUCCCAAGUGAUUCAAAAAUCAAGUGAGUCAAAACGGUCCAUUUGCAUGGAGUUUCUUCAUGCAUAUACACCAAUAGACAUGGUUCGCAUGUCUCAAACUUUUCAAAAACGAGUGAGCCCAAAGAUCCAUCAAUAUGGAGCUUCUUCAUGCGUUUUAUACCGAUAUGACUUACGUGGUAGUGCCACAAGUAGGUGGUACUAUCAUUACUAUCUUUUGGCAUGAACAUGUGUAUCACUACGAUCGAGAUUUAAUAAACCAUUCAUUUUAGGUGUAAGACCAUUGAAGGUAUUAUUCAAAUAAACAGAGUAACCAUUAUUCUCCUUAAAUGAAUAACCGUAUUGCGAUAGACGUAAUCCAAUCAUGUCUAUGCUCAACGCAAACACCAAAUAACAAUUAUUUAGGUUUAACACCAAUCUCUUUGGUAGAGGGAGCGUGCGAUGCUUGAUCAUAUCAAGCAUGGAAAAACUUACAACACAUAUCGUCAGCUCACCUUUAGCUAGUCUCUGUUUAUUCCGUAGCCUUUUGUUUCGAGUUACUAACACUUAGCAACCGAACUGGUAUCUAAUACCCUGGUGCUACUAGGAGUACUAGCAAAGUACACAUUAACACAAUGUAUAUCCAAUAUACUUCUAUCGACCUUGCCAGCCUUCUUAUCUACCAAGUAUCUAGGGUAAUUCUGCUCUAGUAGUUGUUCCCCUUAUUACAGAAGCACUUAGUCUCGGGUUUGGGUUUUACCUUGGGUUUCUUCACUAGAGCAGCAGCUGAUUUGCCGUUUCAUGAAGUAUCCCUUCUUGCCCUUGCCCUUCUUGAAACUAGUGGUUCCACCAACCAUCAACAAUUGAUGCUCCUUCUUGAUUUCUACUUUCGCGGUGUCAAACAUCGCGAAUACCUCAAGGAUCAUCAUAUCUAUCCCUGAUAUGUUAUAGUUCAUCAUGAAGCUCUAACAGCUUGGUGGCAAUGACUUUGGAGAACCAUCACUAUCUCAUCUGGAAGAUCAACUCCCACUCGAUUCAAGCGAUUGUUGUACUCAGACAAUCUGAGCACAAGCUCAACGAUUGAGCUUUUCUCCCUUAGUUUGCAGGUUAAGAAAGUCAUCGGAGGUCUUAUACCUCUUGACAUGGGCACGAGCCUGAAAUCCCAAUUUCAGCCCUCAAAACAUCUCAUAUGUUUCGCGAUGUUUCAAAAACGUCUUUGGUGCCUCAACUCUAAACCGUUUAACUGAACUAUCACGUAGUUAUCAAAACGUGUAUGUCAGAUGUUCGCAACAACCACAGACAACGUUCGAGGUUCAGCACACUGAGCGGUGCAUUAAGGACAUAAGCCUUCUAUGAAGCAAUGAGGACAAUCCUCAGUUUACGGACCUAGUCCGCAUAAUUGCUACUAUCAACUUUCAACUAAUUUUUCUCUAGGAACAUAUCUAAACAGUAGAACUAUAGCGUGAGCUACGACAUAAUUUGCAAAAACCUUUUGACUAUGUUCAGGAUAAUUAAGUUCAUCUUAUGAACUCCCACUCAGAUAGACAUCCCUCUAGUCAUCUAAGUGAUUACAUGAUCCGAGUCAAACUAGGCCGUGUCCGAUCAUCACGUGAGACGGACUAGUCAUCAUCGGUGAACAUCUUCAUGUUGAUCGUAUCUUCUAUACGACUCAUGUUCGACCUUUCGGUCUUCGUGUUCCGAGGCCAUGUAUGUACAUGCUAGGCUCGUCAAGUUAACCCUAAGUGUUUCGCGUGUGUAAAUCUGUCUUACACCCGUUGUAUGUGAACGUUAGAAUCUAACACCCGAUCAUCACGUGGUGCUUCGAAACACGAACUGUCGCAACGGUGCACAGUUAGGGGAGAACACUUCUUGAAAUUGUUGUAAGGGAUCAUCUUAUUUACUACCGUCGUUCUAAGCAAAUAAGAUGUAUAAACAUGAUAAACAUCACAUGCAAUCAAAUAGUGACAUGAUAUGGCCAUCAUCACUUUGCUCCUUUUGAUCUCCAUCUUCGGGGCUCCAUGAUCAUCAUCGUCACCGGCAUGACACCAUGAUCUCCAUCAUCAUGAUCUCCAUCAUCGUGUCUUCAUGAAGUUGCCUCGCCAACUAUUACUUCUACUACUAUGGCUAACGGUUAGCAAUAAAGUAAAGUAAUUACAUGACGUUUAAGUUGACACGCAGGUCACAAAUGAAUAAAGACAACUCCUAUGGCUCCUGCCGGUUGUCAUACUCAUCGACAUGCAAGUCGUGAUUCCUAUUACAAGAACAUGAUCAAUCUCAUACAUCACAUAUAUCAUUCAUCACAUCCUUUUUGGCCAUAUCACAUCACAUAGCAUACCCUGCAAAAACAAGUUAGACGUCCUCUAAUUGUUGUUUGCAUGUUUUACGUGGCUGCUAUGGGUUUCUAGCAAGAACGUUUCUUACCUACGCAUGAACAACAACGUGAUAUGCCAAUUGCUAUUUACCCUUCAUAAGGACCCUUUUCAUCGAAUCCGAUCCGACUAAAGUGGGAGAGACAGACACCCGCCAGCCACCUUAUGCAACUAGUGCAUGUUUGUCGGUGGAACCGGUCUCACGUAAGCGUACGUGUAAGGUUGGUCCGGGCCGCUUCAUCCCACGAUGCCGCCGAAUCAAGAUAAGACUAGUAACGGCAAGCAUAUUGAACAAUAUCAACGCCCACAACUACUUUGUGUUCUACUCGUGCAAAGAAUCUACGCAAUAGACCUAGCUCAUGAUGCCACUGUUGGGGAACGUAGCAGAAAUUCAAAAUUUUCCUACGUGUCACCAAGAUCUAUCUAUGGAGAUACUAGCAACGAGGGAAGGAGAGUGCAUCUACAUACCCUUGUAGAUCGCUAAGCGGAAGCGUUCAAGUGAACGGGGUUGAUGGAGUCGUACUCGUCGUGAUUCAGAUCACCGAUGAUCCUAGUGCCGAACGGACGGCACCUCCGCGUUCAACACACGUACAGCUCGACGAUGUCUCCCACGCCUUGAUCCAGCAAGGAGAGAGGGAGAGGUUGAGGAAGACUCCAUCCAGCAGCAGCACAACGGCGUGGUGGUGAUGGAGGAGCGUGGCAAUCCUGCAGGGCUUCGCCAAGCACCUACGGGAGAGGAGGAGGUGUCACGGGAGGGAGGGAGGCGCCAAGGGCUCAGGUAUAGAUGCCCUCCCUCCCCUCCACUAUAUAUAGGGGCAAGGGAGAGGGGGAGGCGCAUCCUUGCCCCUUCCUCCAAGGAAGGGGUGCGGCUAAGAGGGGGGGAGGAGUCCAUCCUCCCCAAGGCACCUCGGAGGUGCCUUCCCCCUUUAGGACUCUCCCCUUUUUCCUAUAUCUUGGCGCAUGGGCCUCUAGGGGCUGGUGCCCUUGGCCCAUGUAGGCCAAGGCGCACCCCCCUACAGCCCAUGUGGCCCCCCGGGGCAGGUGGCCCCACCCGGUGGGCCCCCGGGACCCUUCCGGUGGUCCCGGUACAAUACCGAUGACCCCGAAACUUGUCCCGAUGGCCGAAACAGGACUUCCUAUAUAUAAAUCUUUACCUCCGGACCAUUCCGGAACUCCUCGUGACGUCCGGGAUCUCAUCCGGGACUCCGAACAACAUUCGGUAACCACAUACAAACUUCCUUUAUAACCCUAGCGUCAUCGAACCUUAAGUGUGUAGACCCUACGGGUUCGGGAGACAUGUAGUCAUGACCGAGAUGUUCUCCGGUCAAUAACCAACAGCGGGAUCUGGAUACCCAUGUUGGCUCGCACAUGUUCCACGAUGAUCUCAUCGGAUGAACCACGAUGUCAAGGACUCAAUCAAUCCCGUAUACAAUUCCCUUUGUCUAGCGGUAUGGUACUUGCCCGAGAUUCGAUCGUCGGUAUACCGAUACCUUGUUCAAUCUCGUUACCGGCAAGCCUCUUUACUCGUUCCGUAACACAUCAUCCCGUGAUCAACCCCUUGGUCACAUUGUGCACAUUAUGAUGAUGUCCUACCGAGUGGGCCCAGAGAUACCUCUCCGUUUACACGGAGUGACAAAAUCCCAAUCUCGAUUCGUGCCAACCCAACAGACACUUUCAGAGAUACCCGUAGUGUACCUUUAUAGCCACCCAGUUACGUUGUGACGUUUGGCACACCCAAAGCACUCCUACGGUAUCCGGGAGUUGCACAAUCUCAUGGUCUAAGGAAAUGAUACUUGACAUUAGAAAAGCUUUAGCAUACGAACUACAUGAUCUUGUGCUAGGCUUAGNNNNNNNNNNUGAUCAACCCCUUGGUCACAUUGUGCACAUUAUGAUGAUGUCCUACCGAGUGGGCCCAGAGAUACCUCUCCGUUUACACGGAGUGACAAAAUCCCAAUCUCGAUUCGUGCCAACCCAACAGACAUUUUCAGAGAUACCCGUAGUGUACCUUUAUAGCCACCCAGUUACGUUGUGACGUUUGGCACACCCAAAGCACUCCUACGGUAUCCGGGAGUUGCACAAUCUCAUGGUCUAAGGAAAUGAUACUUGACAUUAGAAAAGCUUUAGCAUACGAACUACAUGAUCUUGUGCUAGGCUUAGGAUUGGGUCUUGUCCAUCACAUCAUUCUCCUAAUGAUGUGAUCCCGUUAUCAACGACAUCCAAUGUCCAUGGUCAGGAAACCGUAACCAUCUAUUGAUUAACGAGCUAGUCAACUAGAGGCUUACUAGGGACAUGGUGUUGUCUAUGUAUCCACACAUGUAUCUGAGUUUCCUAUCAAUACAAUUCUAGCAUGGAUAAUAAACGAUUAUCAUGAACAAGGAAAUAUAAUAAUAAUCAAUUUAUUAUUGCCUCUAGGGCAUAUUUCCAACAAGAAACGGGGAACAAACUGAUGAAAGAAUGAUCAUACCGAGGGAAUUCACUCAGAACUAACAAGAAUGAUAACGUGCUUUGACUGGAGCGGUUUAAAAACUGCUGGAAGGCUCUAGGGGAAUAAAGAUGGAAUGCCUUCAAAUUUCUAGGUCCGUAUGAUUUGAAAUACUUGCACACAAACCGCGCGAAAGCGUUCCUGGAAAUCUCAGCCCAAAAAAGGACGUUUAGUAAUUCUAAAAGGGACUACAGAAUGAAAAACAAUAGUUUUGGCAGUUAAAGUUUGAGAUUCGAUGGUGCCGUAGAUCCGUUUGGUCAUCAGGUGUAACGAGCCACACCCAUGUCUAGCUAGAGUAGUGUGCUAGGCUCAGGCUAGAGAAGAAACGGGGAACAAACUGAUGAAAGAAUGAUCAUACCGAGGGAAUUCACUCAGAACUAACAAGAAUGAUAACGUGCUCCGACUGGAGCGGUUUAGGAACUGCUGGAAGGCUCUAGGGGAAGAAAGAAGGAAUGACUUCUAAUUUUUAGGUCCGUAUGAUUUGAAAUACGUGCACACAAACCGCGCGAAAGCGUUCCUGGAAAUCUCAGCCCAAAAAAGGACGUUUAGUAUUCUAAAAGGGACUACAGAAUGAAAAACAAUAGUUUUGGCAGUUAAAGUUUGAGAUUCGACGGUGCCGUAGAUCCGUUUGGUCAUCAGGUGUUACGAGCCACACCCAUGUCUAGCUAGAAUAGUGUGCNNNNNNNNNNNNNNNNNNNNNNNNNCGUAUGAUUUGAAAUACGUGCACACAAACCGCGCGAAAGCGUUCCUGGAAAUCUCAGCCCAAAAAAGGACGUUUAGUAUUCUAAAAGGGACUACAGAAUGAAAAACAAUAGUUUUGGCAGUUAAAGUUUGAGAUUCGACGGUGCUGUAGAUCCGUUUGGUCAUCAGGUGUUACGAGCCACACCCAUGUCUAGCUAGAAUAGUGUGCUAGGCUCAGGCUAGAGAAGAAAAGGGGAACAAACUAAUGAAAGAAUGAUCAAUACGAGGGAAUUCACUCAGAACUAACAAUAAUGAUAACGUGCUCCGACUGGAGCGGUUUAGGAACUGCUGGAAGGCUCUAGGCGAAUAAAGAUGGAAUGACUUCUAAUUUUUACGUCCGUAUGAUUUGAAAUACUUGCACACAAACCACGCAAAAGCGUUCCUGGAAAUCUCGGCCUAAAAAGGACGUUUAGUAAUUCUAAAAGGGACUACAGGAUGAAAAAUAAUAGUUUGGGCAGUUAAAAUUUGAGAUUCGACGGUGCCGUAGAUCCGUUUGGUCAUCAGGUGUUACGAGCCACACCCAUGUCUAGCUAGAAUAGUGUGUUAGGCUCAGGCUAGAGAAGAAACGAGGAACAAACUGAUGAAAGAAUGAUCAUACCAAGGGAAUUCACUCAGAACUAACAAGAAUGAUAACGUGCUCCGACUGGAGCAGUUUAGAAACUGCUGGAAGGCUCUAGGGGAAUAAAGAUGGAAUGACUUCUGAUUUUUAGGUCCGUAUGAUUUGAAAUACGUGCACACAAACCCCGCGAAAGCGUUCCUGGAAAUCUCAGCCCAAAAAAGGACGUUUAGUAAUUCUAAAAGGGACUACAACAUGAAAAACAAUAGUUUUGGCAGUUAAAGUUUGAGAUUUCAUGGUGCCGUAGAUCUGUUUGGUCAUCAGGUGUUACGAGCCACACCCAUGUCUAGCUAGAAUAGUGUGUUAGGCUCAGGCUAGAAAAGAAACGGGAAACAAAGUGAUGAAAGAAUGACCAUACCGAGGGAAUUCACUCAGAACUAACAAGAAUGAUAACAUGCUCCGACUUGAGCGGUUUAGGAACUGCUGGAAGGCUCUAGGGGAAUAAAGAUGGAAUGACUUCUAAUGUUUAGGUCCGUAUGAUUUGAAAUACUUGCACAUAAACCGCACAAAAGCGUUCCUGGAAAUCUCAGCCCAAAAAAGGACGUUUAGUAAUUCUAAAAGGGACUACAGGAUGAAAAACAAUAGUUUUGGCAGUUAAAGUUUGAGAUUCGACGGUGCCGUAGAUCCGUUUGGUCAUCAGGUGUUACGAGCCACACCCAUGUCUAGCUAGAAUAGUGUGUUAGGCUCAGGCUAGAGAAGAAACUUGGAACAAACUGAUGAAAGAAUGAUCAAACCAACGGAAUUCACUCAGAACUAACAAUAAUGAUAACGUGCUCCGACUGGAGCAGUUUAGGAACUGCUGGAAGGCUCUAGGGGAAUAAAGAUGGAAUGACUUCUAAUUUUUAGGUCCGUAUGAUUUGAAAUACUUGCACGCAAACCGCGCGAAAGCGUUCCUGGAAAUAUCAGCCCAAAAAAGGACGUUUAGUAAUUCUAAAAGGGACUACAGGAUGAAAACAAUAGUUUUGGCAGUUAAAGUUUGAGAUUCAACAGUGCCGUAGAUCCGUUUGGUCAUCAGGUGUUAUGAGCCAUACCCAUGUCUAGCUAGAGUAGUGUGCUAGGCUCAGGCUAGAGAAGAAACAGGGAACAAACUGAUGAAAGAAUGAUCAUACCGAGGGAAUUCACUCAGAACUAACAAGAAUGAUAACGUGCUCCGACUGGAGCGGUUUAGGAACUGCUGGAAGGCUCUAGGGGAAUAAAGAUGGAGUGACUUCUAAAUUUUUAGGUCCGUAUGAUUUAAAAUACUUGCACACAAACCGCACGAAAGCGUUCCUUGAAAUCUCAGCCCAAAAAAGGACGUUUAGUAAGUCUAAAAGGGACUAUAGGAUGAAAAACAAUAGUUUUGGCAGUUAAAGUUUGAGAUUCGAUGGUGCCGUAGAUCUGUUUGGUCAUCAGGUGUUACGAGCCACACCCAUGUCUAGUUGGAAUAGUGUGCUAGGCUCAGACUAGAGAAGAAACAGGGAACAAACUGAUGAAAGAAUGAUCAAACCGAGGAAAUUCACUCAGAACUAACAAUAAUGAUAACAUGCUCCGACUGGAGCGGUUUAGGAACUGCUGGAAGGCUCUAGGGGAAUAAAGAUGGAAUGACUUCUAAAUUUUUAGGUCCGUAUGAUUUGAAAUAGUUGCACACAAACUGCGCGAAAGCGUUCCUGGAAAUCUCAGCCCAAAAAAGGACGUUUAGUAAUUCUAAAAGGGACUAUAGGAUGAAAAACAAUAGUUUUGGCAGUUAAAGUUUGAGAUUCGACGGUGCCGUAGAUCCGUUUGGUCAUCACGUGUUACAAGCCACACCCAUGUCUAGCUAGAGUAGUGUGCUAGGCUCAGACUAUAGAAGAAACGGGGACCAAACUGAUGAAAGAAUGAUCAAACCGAGGAAAUUCACUCAGAACUAACAAUAAUGAUAACAUGCUCCGACUGGAGCGGUUUAGGAACUACUGGAAGGCUCUAGGGGAAUAAAGAUGGAAUGACUUCUAAAUUUUUAGGUCCGUAUGAUUUUAAAUAGUUGCACACAAACUGCGCGAAAGCGUUCCUGGAAAUCUCAGCCCAAAAAAGGACGUUUAGUAAUUCUAAAAGGGACUACAGGAUGAAAAACAAUAGUUUGGGCAGUUAAAAUUUGAGAUUCGACGGUGCCGUAGAUCCGUUUGGUCAUCAGGUGUUACGAGCCACACCCAUGUCUAGCUAGAGUAGUGUGCUAGGCUCAGGCUAGAGAAGAAACAGGGAACAAACUGAUGAAAGAAUGAUCAUACCGAGGGAAUUCACUCAGAACUAACAAGAAUGAUAACGUGCUCUGACUGGAGCGGUUUAAGAACUGUUGGAAGGCUCUAGGGGAAUAAAGAUGGAAUCACUUCAAAUUUUUACGUCCGUGUGAUUUGAAAUACUUGCACACAAACCGCACGAAAGCGUUCCUGGAAAUCUCAGCCCAAAAAAGGACGUUUAGUAAGUCUAAAAGGGACUACACGAUGAAAAACAAUAGUUUUGGCAGUUAAAGUUUGAGAUUCGACAGUGCCGUAGAUCCGUUUGGUCAUCAGGUGUAACGAGCCACACCCAUGUCUAGAUAGAGUAGUGUGCUAGGCUCAAACUAGAGAAGAAACGGGGAACAAACUGAUGAAAGAAUGAUCAUACCGAGGGAAUUCACUCAGAAAUAACAAGAAUGAUAACGUGCUCUGACUGGAGCGGUUUAGGAACUGCUGGAAGGCUCUAGGGGAAUAAAGAAGGAAUGACUUCUAAUUUUUAGGUCCGUAUGAUUUGAAAUACGUGCACACAAACCCCGAGAAAGCGUUCCUGGAAAUCUCGACCCAAAAAAGGACGUUUAGUAAUUCUAAAAGGGACUACGGGAUGAAAAACAAUAGUUUUGGCAGUUAAAGUUUGAGAUUCGAUAAUGCCGUAGAUCCAUUUGGUCAUCAGGUGUAACGAGCCACACCCAUGUCUAGCUAGAGUAGUGUGCUAGGCUCAGACUAGAGAAGAAACAGGGAACAAACUGAUGAAAGAAUGAUCAUAUCGAGGGAAUUCACUCAGAACUAACAAGAAUGAUAACAUGCUCCGACUUGAGCGGUUUAGGAACUGCUGGAAGGCUCUAGGGGAAUAAAGAUGGAAUGACUUCUAAUUUUUAGGUCCGUAUGAUUUGAAAUACUUACACACAAACCACGCGAAAGCGUUCCUGGAAAUCUCAGCCCAAAAAAGGACGUUUAGUAAUUCUAAAAGGGACUACAUGAUGAAAAACAAUAGUUUUCGCAGUUAAAGUUUGAGAUUCGACGGUGCCGUAGAUCCGUUUGGUCAUCAAGUGUUACGAGCCACACCCAUGUCUAGCUAGAAUAGUGUGUUAGGCUCAGCCUAGAGAAGAAACGGGGAACAAACUGAUGAAAGAAUGAUCAUACCGAGGGAAUUCACUCAGAACUUACAAGAAUGAUAACGUGCUCCGACUUGAGCGGUUUAAGAACUGUUGGAAGGCUCUAGGGGAAUAAAGAUGGAAUCACUUCAAAUUUUUACGUCCGUGUGAUUUGAAAUACUUGCACACAAACCCCGAGAAAGCGUUCCUGGAAAUCUCGGCCGAAAAAAGGAUGUUUAAUAAUUCUAAAAGGGACUACAGGAUGAAAAACAAUAGCUUUGGCAGUUAAAGUUUGUGAUUCGAUGGUGCCGUAGAUCUGUUUGGUCAUCAGGUGUUAUGAGCCACACCCAUGUCUAGCUAGAAUAGUGUGUUAGGCUCAGGCUAGAGCAGAAACUAGGAACAAACUUAUGAAAGAAUGAUCAUACCGAGGGAAUUCACUCAGAACUAACAAGAAUGAUAACGUGCUCCGACUGGAGCGGUUUAGGAACUGCUGGAAGGCUCUAGGGGAAUAAAGAUGGAAUGACUUCUAAUUUUUAGGUCCGUAUGAUUUGAAAUACAUGCACACAAACCCCAAGAAAGCGUUCCUAGAAAUCUCAGCCCAAAAAGGACGUUUAGUAAUUCUAAAAGGGACUACAGGAUGAAAAACAAUAGGUUUGGCAGUUAAAGUUUGAGAUUCGAUAAUGCCGUAGAUCCGUUUGGUCAUCAGGUGUAACGAGCCACACCCAUGUCUAGCUACAUUAGUGUGCUAGGCUCAGACUAGAGAAGAAACGGGGAACAAACUGAUGAAAGAAUGAUCAUACCGAGGGAAUUCACUCAGAACUAACAAGAACGAUAACAUGCUCCGACUGCAGCGGUUUAGGAACUGCUGGAAGGCUCUAGGGGAAUAAAGAAGGAAUGACUUCUAAUUUUUAGGUCCGUAUGAUUUGAAAUACUUGCACACAAACCGCGCGAAAGCAUUCCUGGAAAUCUCAGCCCAAAAAAGGACGUUUAGUAAUUCUAAAAGGGACUACAGGAUGAAAAACAAUAAUUUUGGCAGUUAAAGUUUGAGAUUCGACGGUGCCGUAGAUCCGUUUGGUCAUCAGGUGUUACGGGCCAUACCCAUGUCUAGCUAGAAUAGUGUGUUAGGCUCAGGUUAGAGAAGAAACGGGGAACAAAGUGAUGAAAGAAUGAUCAUACCGAGGGAAUUCACUCAGAACUAACAAGAAUGAUAACGUGCUCCGACUGGAGCGGUUUAGGAAUUGCUGGAAGGCUCUAGGGGAAUAAAGAUGGAAUGACUUCUAUAUUUUACGUCCGUAUGAUUUGAAAUACUUGCACACAAACCACGCAAAAGCACUCCUGGAAAUAUCAGCCUAAAAAGGAUGUUUAGUAAUUCUAAAAGGGACUACAGGAUGAAAAAUAAUAGUUUUGGCAGUUAAAAUUUGAGAUUCAACGGUGCCGUAAAUCCGUUUGGUCAUCAGGUGUUACGAGCCACACCCAUGUCUAGCUAGAAUAGUGUGUUAGGCUCAGGUUAGAGAAGAAACGGGGAACAAACUGAUGAAAGAAU
rnacentral:lncRNA from 1 species